AGAUGGGAGAGCAUCCUGGCUGUCACAUCUAUCACCUCAUGAUUCUCCACAGUUUGUCCUACUCAUCUGGCUUGCUAGGUGAGGUUCCCUAUAUCUCUCAACCCUCCAUCUGUGUCGCUCCCAAAGCUCAAGAAAAAAGGAUGACCUUGCCAGAUAGAGCAGAAAUCAUCUUCCAGCAAGGGGAUUUGAGUUAUUGAAUCCUCUGGGUAUAAUUAUAAAACUAGCUCUGCUUGUGACGGGUAGAUAGCUUCU
rnacentral:snRNA from 1 species